CCUACGGGUGGCAGCAGUGGGGAAUAUUGGACAAUGGGGGGAACCCUGAUCCAGCGACGCCGCGUGAGUGAAGAAGUAUUUCGGUAUGUAAAGCUCUAUCAGCAGGGAAGAAAGAAAUGACGGUACCUGACUAAGAAGCCCCGGCUAACUACGUGCCAGCAGCCGCGGGAAUACGUAGGGGGCAAGCGUUAUCCGGAUUUACUGGGGGUAAAGGGUGCGUGGACGGCGAUGCAAGUCUGAAGUGAAAUGCGGGGGCCCAACCCCCGGACUGCUUUGGAAACUGUAUGGCUGGAGUGUAGGAGAGGUAAGUGGAAUUCCUGGUGUAGCGGUGAAAUGCGUAGAUAUUAGGAGGAACACCAGUGGCGAAGGCGGCUUACUGGACUGCAACUGACGUUGAGGCACGAAAGCGUGGGGAGCGAACAGGAUUAGAUACCCGGGUAGUC
rnacentral:rRNA from 1 species